rnacentral:rRNA from 1 species
CCUACGGGUGGCAGCAGUAGGGAAUAUUGGACAAUGGGUGCGAGCCUGAUCCAGCCAUGCCGCGUGCAGGAAGAAGGCCUUCUGGGUUGUAAACUGCUUUUGCCAGGGGAUAAAAUAGUCUUGCGAGACGAAUUGAAGGUACCUGGUGAAUAAGCCACGGCUAACUACGUGCCAGCAGCCGCGGUAAUACGUAGGUGGCAAGCGUUGUCCGGAUUUAUUGGGUUUAAAGGGUGCGUAGGCGGCCCUGUAAGUCAGUGGUGAAAUACGGCAGCUCAACUGUCGAGGUGCCAUUGAUACUGCGGGGCUAGAGUACAGACGAGGUAGGCGGAAUGGACGGUGUAGCGGUGAAAUGCAUAGAUAUCGUCCAGAACACCGAUAGCGAAGGCAGCUUACCAGACUGUAACUGACGCUGAGGCACGAAAGUGUGGGGAUCAAACAGGAUUAGAUACCCUUGUAGUC